AACGAACGCUGGCGGCAUGCCUAACACAUGCAAGUCGAACGAGACCUUCGGGUCUAGUGGCGCACGGGUGCGUCACGCGUGGGAACCUGCCCUUAGGUUCGGAAUAACUCCCCGACAGGGGUGCUAAUACCGGAUAAUGUCUUCGGACCAAAGAUUUAUCGCCUUUGGAUGGGCCCGCGUUGGAUUAGCUAGUUGGUAGGGUAAAAGCCUACCAAGGCGACGAUCCAUAGCUGGUCUGAGAGGAUGAUCAGCCACACUGGGACUGAGACACGGCCCAGACUCCUACGGGAGGCAGCAGUGGGGAAUAUUGGACAAUGGGCGAAAGCCUGAUCCAGCAAUGCCGCGUGAGUGAUGAAGGCCUGAGGGUUGUAAAGCUCUUUUACCCGGGAUGAUAAUGACAGUACCGGGAGAAUAAGCUCCGGCUAACUCCGUG
rnacentral:rRNA from 1 species